rnacentral:lncRNA from 1 species
CGCGAAACGAGCGUAGCUUCCUUGUCGUGUGGCCUCAGUCCUUCGCCGUCCCUCGCCGUCCUUCGCCAUCGCACGCCACCGCACCCCAUCUCUCGAAAUCUGCAGACAUCUUGAUUUUUCCCACGCUGUCUGUCAGGUCUCCGCCGCCACUCGACGCCAGGGCGCCGGGUGAGUCCACAGCAGGGCGCAUGGUCGGCUCCACUCUCACCAUCGGGGGAAACUGAGGCCCCGGGGAAGGCGGCCAGAGAGGUCAGGCCCUGUCCUUGGUGCAGUGUCUCGUCCUCUUUGCCGGAGUGAGCCCCCCAGGAUUCGCGUGUCCUCGGGAAAGACACUGGCAGGAGUGUCACAUGACUGCCGCCCCAUGUGUGUGAGAGGCGUCCUCUGGGAGAGCAUGGAUCCUGAGGUCCCAGGAUUGUCAGCUGACCUCUGUCCUGUGUGCCCAGUGGCCCCAGGUGACGUGUCUUCAAGAAGAGGCUGAGCUGCGGUGCUUGUAAGGGUCUCAUUCUGUCACCCAGGCUGGAGUGCAGUGGUGCAAUGAUGGCUCACUGCAGCCUCGACCUGGGCUCAAGUGAUCCUCCACCUCAGCUUCCUGAGUAGCUGGGACCACAGGUCUCAGCCUUAGAUCCAAGGACAGUCCAAGGAAGUCCUAAGACCAUGGAGUUGGUGAUCUGGGAUCUGGGUUUGCUGAUAUUUCUCACCGUGAAUCUCUUGGUGGUGUUUGUGGGCACGAGAGGGGCAGAGAAUGGAGAGUGAGGCUACCACAUGAAGCGUCACCAGAGCUGCUCCCUGCUGCCUGCUCAGAGCACCCCGGAUCCACUGUUCAAUCUGCACAAGAUUCGGGGUCCAGACAUGGGAGACUUCAGCUGCCUCAGAGGACCGUGGACAGGGAAGGCCAGCCUCGCAUCCCUCUGUCCAUGCCUGGAAUGACUUUAAUAACCAAGAGUUUUAUUUUUGAAUUUGUAGCUGUCGUUCACUUUUUACCCACCCAUUCAAUAAACCUUACAGAAUUGCUCCAUGUGCUUCUUAAAUCAGUGACAACCUGUGAGCCUGCCAGGCUGGCUUUGGAGAAGAGGGAGGAAUCUACACAUGUCCCAGGGGCCAUGGUGAAAAGGUGCAGUUAAUCUCCCCACUUGAAGUUAAAACCACCUUGGCUGGAGUUGGGGCAAAAAUCACGCUGGUAAGCCUGUCUUGAUGAAUUUGGCACAUUAAUGGUCUGCC